AGACAGUUCGGUCCCUAUCCGUCGCGGGCGUAGGAAAUUUGAGAGGAUCUGCUCCUAGUACGAGAGGACCAGAGUGGACUUACCGCUGGUGUACCAGUUGUUCUGCCAAGAGCAUCGCUGGGUAGCUAUGUAGGGAAGGGAUAAACGCUGAAAGCAUCUAAGUGUGAAGCCCACCUCAAGAUGAGAUUUCCCAUGAUUUUAUAUCAGUAAGAGCCCUGAGAGAUGAUCAGGUUGAUAGGUUAGAAGUGGAAGUGUGGUGACACAUGUAGCGGACUAAUACUAAUAGCUCGA
rnacentral:rRNA from 1 species